rnacentral:lncRNA from 1 species
UAGGCCGUGUCACCUAUUUUAGGUCUGAAUAUACAACAAUAUACUCAAUUGCUAAAUUUUCUUAAUGGUGUGAAACUUCUUCUAGCCUAACUUCGCAUGCCACAGCUUCCACUCAUGAUCAUUUCUCAGAUAAAAUCUCUUCUUCCUUUACUACAUGGAUUGUAGAUAGUGGAGCCUCAAACCAUAUGGUCUCAUCUUCCACCAUUUUAAAUACACAUACUACUAUACCUUU